rnacentral:tRNA from 1 species
GGCUCGGUAGCUUUGUUGGAAAAGCCUUGUCUAGCGAAUAAGGGUCGUGAGUUCAAAACUUACCUGAGUUG